rfam:Hordeum vulgare subsp. vulgare, WGS project CAJW01000000 data, contig: morex_contig_62117
AACAUACUCCCUUCAUCCUAAAAUUCUUGUCUUAACUUUGUUUAGAAAUGGAUGUAUCAAAAUACUAAAACUUCACUAGAUACAUUUAUAUCUAAACAAAUCUAAGACAAUAAUUUUGAGACGGAGGGAGUAUAUG